GAUGAACGCUGGCGGCGUGCCUAAUACAUGCAAGUCGAACGAUGAACCGGGUGCUUGCACUCGGGGAUUAGUGGCGAACGGGUGAGUAACACGUGAGCAACCUGCCCCUGACUCUGGGAUAAGCGCUGGAAACGGCGUCUAAUACUGGAUAUGUCCCGUCACCGCAUGGUGUGCGGGUGGAAAGAUUUUUCGGUUGGGGAUGGGCUCGCGGCCUAUCAGCUUGUUGGUGAGGUAAUGGCUCACCAAGGCGACGACGGGUAGCCGGCCUGAGAGGGUGACCGGCCACACUGGGACUGAGACACGGCCCAGACUCCUACGGGAGGCAGCAGUGGGGAAUCUUGCGCAAUGGGCGAAAGCCUGACGCAGCAACGCCGCGUGGGGGAUGACGGCCUUCGGGUUGUAAACCUCUUUCGACCGGGACGAAGGAUUCGUUUGACGGUACCGGUAGAAGAAGCACCGGCUAACUACGUGCCAGCCGCCGCCGUAA
rnacentral:rRNA from 1 species